rnacentral:rRNA from 1 species
GACGAACGCUGGCGGCGUGCUUAACACAUGCAAGUCGAACGGUGAAGCGCCUUCCUUUUUGGUGGGUGUGGAUGAGUGGCGAACGGGUGAGUAACACGUGAGUAACCUGUCCCCUUCUUCUGGAUAACCGCAUGAAAGUGUGGCUACUACUGGUUAUUUUGACUCUGUGGCAUGAUGGGUCUGGGAAAGAUUUUGUUUCGGUGGGGGUUGGUCUCGCGGCCUAUCAGGUUGUUGUUGGGGAGGUGGUCUACCAAGGCGGUGACCGGUAGCCGGCCGAGGAGGGUGGGCGGUCACAGAGGGGCGGAGACACCGCCCAGACUACGGCAGGAAGCAGCAGGGGAGAUUACUGAACAAUGGGAGGAAUCCUGAUGCAGCGACGCCGCGGGAGGGAUGGAGGCCUGCGGGUUGAGAACCUCUUUCGGCAGUGAAGCAGGCCUGCCUCGUCUGUGGGUGGGUUGACGGUAGCUGGAUAAGAAGCGCCGGCUAACUACGUG